ACUCAAAACCUCAACGUUCUUACUUUUACUACUCCUAAUACUAAUAGAAAGAACAAGUAGAAUCAGCUUCGUCGAUUCUAAGUUUUUUGUUAAUUUUGAAGAGACCCUCUCAUUGGACAAGCAGAUAAGGGGAGACACACUAGUGGAAAAGACUAGCGGGCGCCUCGUGGGUGCAAAAAGCCAAAAGAAAAAAUGGUAUCAGUUUCCUCUAUUCAACCCCGCUUCAUCUCUACCUUGAUUGGAGACUGCCGCUUCAUUCAACCUUCACACUCACUCCAUAGACUCUUCCGUUGCAACUCAGGUAAUAAACAUGUGUCCAUGCAAUACUCAAGAAGAUUUUCCGGAUUAACGGAUUUGUUAUUCAACAGAAG